rnacentral:rRNA from 1 species
CCUACGGGCGGCUGCAGUGAGGAAUAUUGGGCAAUGGGCGCAAGCCUGACCCAGCAACGCCGCGUGAAGGAUGAAGGCCCUUGGGUUGUAAACUUCUUUUGCAGGGGAAGAGAGCGGACGGUACCCUGAGAAUAAGUCACGGCUAACUACGUGCCAGCAGCCGCGGUAAUACGUAGGUGACAAGCGUUAUCCGGAAUUACUGGGCGUAAAGCGCACGCAGGCGGCUGAGAAAGUCUGACGUGAAAUCUCCCGGCUUAACCGGGAGCGGUCGUUGGAAACUACUUGGCUUGAGGCGAUGAGAGGGGUGUGGAAUUCCCGGUGUAGUGGUGGAAUGCGUAGAUAUCGGGAGGAACAUCAGUGGCGAAAGCGGCACCCUGGCAUUAGCCUGACGCUCAGGUGCGAAAGCGUGGGGAGCGAACGGGCUUAGAUACCCGUGUAGUC